CUGCCUGGUAGUGGGGGAUAAUCGGAAACGCGCUAAUACGUCCUACGGGAGAAAGCAGGGGACCUUCGGGCCCGGUGCGCUAUCAGAUGAGCCUAGGUCGGAUUAGCUAGUUGGUGGGGUAAUGGCUCACCAAGGCGACGACGUAACUGGUCUGAGAGGAUGAUCCACACUGGAACUGAGACACGGUCCAGACUCCUACGGGAGGCAGCAGUGGGGAAUAUUGGACAAUGGGCGAAAGCCUGAUCCAGCCAUGCCGCGUGUGUGAAGAAGGUCUUCGGAUAAUUGUGCUUGUAAAGCACUUUAAGUUGGCCAGGAAGGGCAGUUACCUAAUACGUGAUUGUUUUGACGUUACCGACAGAAUAAGCACCGGCUAACUUGCCAGCAGCCGCGGUAAUACAGAGGGUGCAAGUAAUCGGAAUUACUGGGCGUAAAGCGCGCGUAGGUGUUGUUAAGUUGGAUGUGAAAUCCCCGGGCUCAACCUGGGAACUGCAUUCAAAACUGACUUAGAGUAUGGUAGGGUGGUGGAAUUUCCUGUGUAGCGGUGAAAUGCGUAGAUACCUGUAGGAAGGAACACCAGUGGCGAAGGCGACCAGGUCCUGGACUAAUACUGACACUGAGGUGCGAAAGCGUGGGCAAACAAUUAGAUCCAAGGUACCCUGGUAGACGCCGUAAACGAUGUCACGUUGG
rnacentral:rRNA from 1 species